rnacentral:tRNA from 1 species
AGGGCUUUAAGUUAACUAAACUAAUAGCCUUCAAAGCUAUCAAUAAAGUCUUUAUUCUUUAAGCUCUA